AUUGAACGCUGGCGGCAGGCUUAACACAUGCAAGUCGAGCGGUAACAGGCCUUCGGGUGCUGACGAGCGGCGGACGGGCGAGGAAUGCAUAGGAAUCUGCCUAUAAGUGGGGGAUAACACGGGGAAACUCGUGCUAAUACCGCAUACGUACUACGGGAGAAAGCGGGGGAGCGUAAGACCUCGCGCUAAUAGAUGAGCCGAUGCCGGGUUAGCUAGUUGGUAGGGUCAAGGCCUACCAAGGCGCCGAUACGUAGAUGGUCUGAGAGGAUGAUUAGCGAAAGUGGGACUGAGACACGGCCCAGACUCCUACGGGAGGCAGAAGUGGGGAAGAUUGGACAAUGGGCGCAAGCCUGAUCCAGCCAUGCCGCGUGUGUGAAGAAGGACUUCGGGUUGUAAAGCACUUUAAGUGGGGAGGAAGGUCAGUAAGUUAAUACCUUGCUGAAUUGACGCUACCCACAGAAUAAGCACCGGCUAACUCUGUGCCAGCCGCCGCCGUAA
rnacentral:rRNA from 1 species